AAACGCCAGGACCGCCUCCUACAACGCGGGUCUCGCCACUGGCGAUAUGAGCGCCUACAAAGCGGCCUCAUACGGCGCAGAGCUGCACAUCCUCAAUCUUUUCAGGAUCUGGAGGUUUGACUGGAAAGUUCCAUCAGGCACCUGAGUUCCUUGGUCUCCACCCCUGGGUGGAGCCAUCAUCCCUCCUGCAGUCCUGCACACCUUAGGCUGAUUCUGGGACCUUCUUUGCCACUGCCUUCAACCCCCAGAGCUCCUCGGAUUAACCUCGCAUUCUGGGGCAAUACAAAGGACCUCACCUGCCUGCCCUCCGGCCACCACUCACCACCUUGGACACAGCAGAACUCAGACGCACUCCGUCCCCGUCGCUACCUGCCAAUUCCCCGUUCACCCCACUGACCCACGGCCACACCAUUAGCAACACUUUGCCACAAAUUCACCUGUUGAUCUAAUAAACAAACACUGUAAAACGUGCGAGCCGUCUCUGUUGUGGUUAUCUGCGUUUGAGUCCAAUUUAGCUAUCGGCCUGUGGCCAUUGUGACAAAUCUCACCUAAAAACUAAAUGUUUUGGUAGUGACCUCUGAACUUUUCCAAGUCAAAGACUGAUCAUGUUUCAGAAAUAUGUUAAACAAUGCCAGCUUUACAAAAUGGAAGGUAUUACUUUGAAGAUGAAGCUUCAUACUGUCUCUGUCAUGAAGUCUUCCUGCUGGGAAGCACCAAAUAAAGUACACUAAAUGAACACCAAAUAAGACCUGUUUAUGGUAAUAUGUUAAUGCAAGGUGUCCAAAUCCAAUAUAAGUAAAGUAAGC
ensembl:lncRNA